rnacentral:misc_RNA from 1 species
AAAUCGUGUUGAUUUCUGGAACUUUCCAUCAUUUCAUCUUUUCAAUGUUUUGCGCAAAACAAACAUUUGUAACUACCAAACAUUCUGCGCAAUAUUCCCAUCAAACUAAAUAACGCCAUACCCGGGCAUUAGUACAAAUGGACGACGAGUAAACAAAGCGUCACUAUGACACUUUGAAUUGUUUUCAUACAUUUCCUGAACGAAAUCGCUUCAGAAUUCACAAGUAAAUACCUCAGCGCAAAGACCAGAAAAUUCUUUCGACGAACCUAGCGACUAUUGUGAUAUACGUAAUAUUUGUGAUGCAAUUUUUCGUCAAUUAAAAGUUAAGAGUUAACCUCACUCGUGGUUGGUGUUGUGCCUAAAGAAAGUACGCGCGUACCCCCGGCCGCACAAUGAAGGAAAAAAGACCGGAGGAAAUAAACAAUUGGCUUCUGAAAGCCGCCCUCGAUUGCGUCAAGGACGAGACCUCGCUCGAUAUUGACUUGUCAGCAUGUGCUCCCAUACCGUCAGCCCCGAACGACAAUACCCUGUCAGACGUUUGGAAUACAAACCAGGAGGGCCUGGAGAAGGAGCCAGCGCUACAAAUACCUGAGGGCCAGGAGCUGAUUGGUUUGGCACAGGACGACGACAGCAACGCCUGCAGCCUGAUGGCCGGGGUGGUGAAAGCAAGGCCAGUCGCUGAAGUUACCUGCCAAGAAACAAGCUCCCCGCGUAGAAUCCCAAAACUGGAGGCUGUGUCCCAUACCCAAGGGAGUCCGGGGUCGAUGACUGCUAUUCGUGAUGCCAGCAGCUCGUACACCCUUCCGCAUACGAUGAUAAAGGCAGAACCAGGCGCAGGGCUGCCCUGCCAAGGACCCGUCUCUCUAGCGACCACCUGUUCAAAGGAGACUUUCAAGUGUAAGAACUGCGAGGAGGAGUUCGACUCCAAGGAGUCCUUGAAAGCGCACGGAAAGGUUCAUAGGAACAGUAAGAGGAAUGAGGUGUACACAUGCCCCGUUUGUGAUAAACAGUUGAAAGUCAGUAGCAUGUGGUUACACCGCAAAAUUCAUAACGAAAGUGAACGAUUUAGCUGUGAUAUUUGUGGCCAAAAAUUUGUCCAGAAAAUUAACUUAAUUCACCACACCAAGGCGCAUCUUGGCGAGAAACCAUUCGAAUGCUCUCAGUGUCAGAUGUCCUUCCCCGAGCGAUCACAUCUUAUCAAGCAUCAACGCUACCACACAUCCACCCGCCAAUACAAAUGCGAGAAGUGCGGAAAAAUGUAUAAAACCGAGCGUUGCCUCAAAGUGCACAAUCUCGUGCACUUGGAGAAGCGUCCCUUCGUGUGCAGCGAAUGCAAUAAAAGUUUCAUUAGCAGCUCAAAGCUCAAGCAACACUCAAACAUUCACACUGGCGAGCGGCCCUACAAGUGUAAAUAUUGCGCGCGUGACUUCACCAACUUUCCCAAUUGGCUGAAACAUACAAGACGACGUCACAAAGUUGACCACAAAACGGGCGAACUACUGCAAAACGUGCCCAGCUACGUGUCGAAGAAAUCGAAUAAGAAAGAGAAGAAGCUGAAAGUGAACGAAACUACGGAGGCUGUGGAGCUGCCAGCGAAAACGAAGACUGAAUCGACCUUUACGGAUAUUUACGCGAUGUCAUUGAAUAGUGCAGAGGAAUUGAUAAUGGAACAGGCGUUGGAAAUGGAAGAGUCUGGUUACCUUAUGUCGCCACCUUCAGAUGCCACUCUAGGAUCGCCACCUCUUCUUUCACAAUUCGAAUAUAUGUCACCCGCGCCACAAGAAUCAACACCAGAACUACCUCUAUCAUCAUUGACUUCGAAUUGCCAAUACUAUCUACCCUCACUCUCCCCACUUCAUACGAAUAUAUCAACAAUAUCAAGUCCAGACGAUGCAGGUCAGCAGAAUUACACAAGAACACUUCCGUCCGUUGAAACGUUGUUCGCUUCCAGUUUUCAGAAAGCAUCACUUCCGCAUCAUUGAAACUAAGGAAUUGUUAGCUGGACUGGCUCUACGAUUGGUCUCAUCACAGUGAAAAAUCCAGAUACCUACAAUCUGCAACUAUGUUGAUAAUUGAAAUCAACCAAAUCGAAAUUUAUUAUGAUUUUUUUUUUCGCUUUAAGAUAAAAUUUUAUUGAUUUCCGAUCAAUCAAAAAUAAGUAGAUUAAGUUUCUGAAAAGCAGAAAAAGGAGAUUUAGUUAUCGACAGUGUUAGUACGAAGGAGAAUAAUUAUUUGUGAUAGAGUUUUUAUCCCCAACACAAAAAUAAGAUGGCAAUUUGACAAGAUAAAUCUAAAUGAAUAUUUUUACAUUAACCAACAGUUGAAGAUGAUGUUCUUCAAGAGAUAUCUUGGUUUUUAAGGUUUUGUGUAAAACAAAUCCUUAUUUACUGUUGUAUAGGAUUUUAAUGAGUUUGUGAUCGAAUUUUUCCAAAAUUAAAUUAAAUGUUUUAUGUCAUAUUUGUGAACAGGAAGAUUGAAGGCGUGAUUGCAAAUGUGAUACGAAUUUAUAUUGUGAAUAAACAUAGAUACAUGUAUGUAUAGAAGAAUCAAAGUGUUAUUUGAAACAAUUUGUGAUGGUUUUGCGUUAAUCUUAAUUUCCUAAAAUCAGUAAUUAAAGACUGGAAAUUUCGUAUUUUUGUAUGUUGUAAGCUACAAGAAAGAGAAACGAAAAUAAAAUAUUAAAAAGCGAAA